rnacentral:rRNA from 1 species
GACGAACGCUGGCGGCGUGGAUUAGGCAUGCAAGUCGAACGACGGUAGAGCUUCGGCUCUAUACGGAGUGGCGAACGGGUGAGUAACACGUGAACAACCUGUCCUCACGUUCUGGAUAAUUGAUCGAAAGGUCUUGUAAUACAGGCGAGGAUCUCCGGUGGGCAUCUUCCGGGGAAGGAACAUGCGAGGGUAACUUCGUGUGGUGCGAGGAGGGGUUCGCGGUCUAUCAGCUUGUUGGUGAGGUAAUGGCCCACCAAGGCGACGACGGAUAGCUGGUCUGAGAGGAUGGUCAGCCACAUUGGAACUGAGAUACUGUCCAGACUCCUACGGGAGGCUGCAGUCGAGAAUCUUGGGCAAUGCACGAAAGUGUGACCCAGCGACGCCGCGUGGAGGAUGAAGGCCCUUGGGUUGUAAACUCCUUUU